GGUUUUUGAAAGAGGCAAAAUUAAAGUUUCGACUAAAAACGAAAUUGGAAGAUAGGUAUUUAUAGACAGGUAGUCAGACGGUCUACACGUGCUCACACGAGCAAUCAACGAACGCAGCCAAAUUUUUAGCCAAUAUGUAGAAGCCCAAAAAGUGGAGUAGAGGGAGGAAAAAGAGGAUGAAUGAGGAGCUUUUUUUUAUCAUUUAAUAAAGAUGCAACCAUAAACCUGGAUGGACUUAAAAUAUCAGCCAAUCUUAAUUUUACAUUAAUUUUGAUUUCAAAUAAGUAAGCAUUUUUGUUGUUUAUAUUAGAUUUAUUUAUACCACAUGUGUCACACUUUAAUGUUUAAUGUUUAUUUUUUAUGAUUUGUGAAUUGUAAUGUAAAUAUAGAUUGAAAUGAUCAAAAACGGAAAAUAUUGAUAGAAAUAUCUACAUAUCAAUUUAAAUUCAAA